rnacentral:sRNA from 1 species
GCCGGUUAUGGUGGUGCAUACCUGUAAUCCCAGCAGCUCUGGAGGCUGAGGCAGGAGGAUUGUUCAAAACCAGGCUUAGCAAAAGGCAGGUGCUAAGCAACUCAGUGAGACCCUGUCUCUA